UUGAUACAUGGAAAAUAACCGGUUAAUUUUGUAAGUAUAAGGUAAGGGCAGAGGUCACUUCCUGUUUUGAGUAGUAAGGUCAGAGAAGCUGCUUAUGGUGACGGUCUAGCCGUGUGAAUGUUAAAGAAGAAAUAAGUCCUAAGUUCCAAUACACCGGUUUGUCUACUUGCAGGCCAAAGUGUUCUACGGUGUACCUGUGUACGUUAAAGAAGCACAGUAAACAUCAGUGAAGAAGAACUCUCGUGUCUCUCGUGUCUCAAGCCGGCAUAGCGUUAUAGCGAGGGACCACUACAAUUUUAAAGACAUGAUUUUGGAGAAUAUCUUCGCAGUAGCGAUUGACCGCAAAGAAAAGGUACUGGAAAUGUACAACCCUGCAUCCGGUCUCAAACCAGGAAGUUAGCAUUUUGUCGGAGAAGGGUCUGGCUGCAGCCACUGGGGAGCGCCAUAUUGCGACCUCCACAGUAACCGGAAACAUGUGAUCUCCAAAGUAGCUGGAAACAUGUGACCUCCACAAUGCACAUAUAAAUUUGGAAUUCUGCCUCCAAGCCAGAAUUGCAGGAAUGCACCACGUGUUGCCGAAGACUCUUUCACUGCCCUCUGUGCCCCACUUUCAGCCCUACUGUCAGGGCAAAGAUUGACGAGCAUAUACAGUGGCUUGCAAAAGUAUUCGGCCCCCUUGAACU